rnacentral:rRNA from 1 species
AGAGGAGCCUGUCCUAUAAUCGACACCCCACGUUAUACCUCACCCCCUCUCGCAAUCAGCCUAUAUACCGCCGUCGUCAGCCCACCUCAUGAGAGAUCAAAAGUGGACAAAAUUGUCAAUCACAAAAACGUCAGGUCAAGGUGUAGCUAAUGAGGCGGAUAAAAGAUGGGCUACAUUCUCCAAAAUAGAGAACACGCACGAUAUAAUGAAACUUUAUACCUUAAGGCGGAUUUAGAAGUAAACUAAGAAAGAAAACUUAAUUGAACCUUGCUCUG